GAUGAACGCUGGCGGCGUGCUUAACACAUGCAAGUCGAACGAUGAAGCUCAGCUUGCUGGGUGGAUUAGUGGCGAACGGGUGAGUAACACGUGAGUAACCUGCCCUUAACUCUGGGAUAAGCCUGGGAAACUAGGUCUAAUACCGGAUAGGAGCGCCUACCGCAUGGUGGGUGUUGGAAAAAUUUAUCGGUUUUGGAUGGACUCGCGGCCUAUCAGCUUGUUGGUGAGGUAAUGGCUCACCAAGGCGACGACGGGUAGCCGGCCUGAGAGGGUGACCGGCCACACUGGGACUGAGACACGGCCCAGACUCCUACGGGAGGCAGCAGUGGGGAAUAUUGCACAAUGGGCGAAAGCCUGAUGCAGCGACGCCGCGUGAGGGAUGACGGCCUUCGGGUUGUAAACCUCUUUCAGUAGGGAAGAAGCGAAAGUGACGGUACCUGCAGAAGAAGCACCGGCUAACUACGUG
rnacentral:rRNA from 1 species